rnacentral:rRNA from 1 species
GCGGAGGAAAAGAAACCAACCAGGGGAUUGCCUCAGUAACGGCGAGUGAAGCGGCAACAGCUCAAAUUUGAAAUCUGGCGCAAGCCCGAGUUGUAAUUUGCAGAGGAUGUUUCGGGUGAGGCCGCGGUCCAAGUCCCUUGGAACAGGACGUCAUAGAGGGUGAGAACCCCGUACCCUGGCCGCCGGCUCCCCCCGCUGUGAAACUCCUUCGACGAGUCGAGUUGUUUGGGAAUGCAGCUCUAAAUUGGUGGUAAAUUCCAUCUAAAGCUAAAUACCGGCCAGAGACCGAUAGCGCACAAGUAGAGUGAUCGAAAGAUGAAAAGCACUUUGAAAAGAGAGUUAAAAAGUACGUGAAAUUGUUGAAAGGGAAGCGCUUGCGGCCAGACUUGCCCGCGGUUGCUCAGCCCGCCUUUUGGCGGGUGCACUCUUCCGCGGUCAGGCCAGCAUCGGUUCGGGCGGUCGGAUAAAGGCGACGGGAACGUGGCCUCCCCUCGGGGAGGUGUUAUAGCCCGGCGCGCAAUGCGGCCAGCCCGGACCGAGGUUCGCGCUCUGCUAGGAUGCUGGCGUAAUGGCCGUAAGCGGCCCGUCUUGAAACACGGACCAAGGAGUCUAACAUCUAUGCGAGUGGUUUGGGUGUCAAACCCGUGCGCGUAAUGAAAGUGAACGGAGGUGGGAACCGCAAGGUGCACCAUCGACCGAUCCUGAUGUCUUCGGAAGGAUUUGAGUAAAAGCAUAGCUGUUGGGACCCGAAAGAUGGUGAACUAUGCGUGAAUAGGGUGAAGCCAGAGGAAACUCUGGUGGAGGCUCGCAGCGGUUCUGACGUGCAAAUCGAUCGUCAAAUUUGCGUAUAGGGGCGAAAGACUAAUCGAACCAUUUAGUAGCUGG